rnacentral:rRNA from 1 species
AUUGAACGCUAGCGGCAUGCCUUACACAUGCAAGUCGAACGGAGUGGCGAACGGGUGAGUAAUGUAUCGGAACGUGCCCAGUAGCGGGGGAUAACUACGCGAAAGCGUAGCUAAUACCACAUACUAUUGGAGCGGCCGAUACCGGAUUAGCUAGUGGGUGGGGUAACGGCUCACCAAGGCGACGAUCCGUAGCUGGUGUGAGAGGACGACCAGCCACACUGGGACUGAGACACGGCCCAGACGCCUACGGGAGGCAGCAGUGGGGAAUUUUGGACAAUGGGGGAAACCCUGAUGCAGCCAUCCCGCGUGUGUGAUGAAGGCCUUCGGGUUGUAAAGCACUUUUUGCAGGAAAGCGGUACCUGCAGAAUAAGCACCGGCUAACUACGUGCCAGCAGCCGCGGUAAUUC